rnacentral:lncRNA from 1 species
CCAACAGUGCGAAAUCUAGACUUCUCAAGUUCAGAACGGGAGGAAAAUCCAAGGUAAACCAGAGUGGAAAGUUACAGUGAAAAAAAAAAUUUGUCAAUGUGCUUUUUUCGAUAUAGUUUUGUCUUGUAAGGUUGUGAAGGUUGAUCCGUCCAUCCUUCUCGGUCCGGUCGGCGGCGGCCGGUGCCUUCUCAUGCUCGGCCAACGACUAAAGCCAUUUGCUUCCUUUAGCUUCUCUUACGCUUGGGACAGACCAAAUAGUUUGUCAAUCUUGGAUAAUACUGUUGAAAGGAGUGUAGACCUUGAAAAAAAUAAAUUAUGUAACAAUAAGGUUCUUAAAGUUUUAGGAAACAAGAAACUAUUUAGCUAUUGUACUAUUUGACACAUGCUAAUUUGUCAAAUGUUUUCGUUUCUGCUUAUGUGCUAAUAAUAAUUUUAAAAAAUAAUAAAUUUUAAAAAGCUCUAUUUUAAAGUUUCAACUUUUGUUUUGGAAUAAUCAAUUUUAACAUAAAUUCCCAUAAAACAAAUACAGUAUUCCAUCACUAUUUAAUCGAUCCCAUGAAAUUAUCCGCAAUGUUUUUUCACGGCCACAUAGGAGAGGGGCGAGGUUAACGAGUUGGUUUAUUUUGAUAUUAAAUUGGUUAUUCAAAUAAAUAAUGAGGGAGGGAGAAGCCUAUGAACACUAAACGAUUGUGGAAAUUAAGGCUAAACAAAGCAAGCGAAUAGACUACAGUGCUGGCCCUAAGUUUUUCGAGGCCUCAGUUCGAAUCUCAAUUUAGAAUCCUUUACAAAAAAUAAAUUUUUAAUAAAAAAUAACACUAUUAUUACAACAAAGAUUAACAUCUCUGGUAAAUUUCAAACAAUAUUGAAAACUUAGAAUACACAUACAAGACUGUUACUUCGAUGUAUCAAAAUAUAUAUAAUUCAGUACACAAAUAAUUAUAUCUAUGCUAUAACAUUUUAGACCCAGGGCCCUAGAAUUGAAACAUUUUUUUGGACCCCAGAUACAAGUCUACUGGGCCUAUGCCCAGGGUUUUAAAAAGAGAAAAUGUUCGAGGGGAAAAAAAUGGCCCAAUGUACUGAAAAACUAGUUAGGAUGAAUUAAAAUGAACUAUACAAUUUAAAUUGAUUAUUGAAGAGUCUUCAGUUAUUAGUUCAUACGGAUUUUUGUCUCGGUUGUAAUCAAAUCUUCUGCUAAUGAAAGGUAAAAUUAAUUUUCCUAAUUAGGCAAUCCUUGGAUCAGAUAUCAAGUUACAUAUAAAAAAAAAAAUCAUUGACUAUGUUCAUAUCCAUGAACAAGCCUCCCACAUACUUUGUAAAUCUAAACAUAUAUUACUUUCAAAAUAGAGAUUGGCUAUGUAAUUUUACAAACUGGGUAAAAUUAAUUCUCCAAAUCAGGCAAUCCUUAAAUCAGAUAUCAAGUUAUAUAUAAAAGAAAAAAUCAUUGACUAUCGUUCAAAUCCAUGAACAAACCUCCCAUAUACUUUGUAAAUCUAAACAUAUAUUAAUUUCAAAAAUAGAGAAUGGCUAUGUAAUUUUACAAACUAUAAGAAAGAAAGAUUCGGGCAAUUUAAUCAAAUCUUAGUGAAGGUUUUAUAAAAUUUACACUUUGUAUAUUAACCUGGUUUGGUCACAAUUUAACGGGAUAUAUAUAUUAUUUUUAAAAGUAUAAUUUUUUUUAUAAUUUUACAAACUAUAAAAAAUGUCUAAGAAAUUUUGUCAAAUCUCAAGGAAGGUUAGUAAAAUUUACCCUUAAUUUUUUGACAUUAUUUAUAUUCACCCUUAAAGAGAGGAAAACCGAGGGAAAAGAGUACAAUCAUUUUUUAAGCAUUACACUUUGCCUUUCCUCUCCCUUUUCCUCUCCCUCCAAAUUUGGGAGAAAAAAGAAAGGAAACAAGGAGUAAACAUUCUUAAUUUUUAAUAAUAAUUACAACCUAUUUAAAAAUUAAUUCGUUAUAAACAAAAAAAGAUAAAAAUAAUAAAAUGAUACAAAUUCACUAUGCAUUCCCCUUUCCUAUUAUCAAAUCAAAUAGGUGAAAGUAAACAUUCUCCAUUUUCAUUGUUAAACCAAAGAGAAAAAUACUACCUUCAUUUCCCUUCCCCUCCUCUCCCUUUGUUCCCCUUUGUUCUCCUCAAUCCAAAGAAAGUAUAAAUAUAAGUAAUUCAAAUUGAGGCACAACAAAUGAUCAAGUAAAAUAAUUUUUUUUAUAAGUAAAUAAUCAAAAAUUCUAAUAGCAGUCUUCCAUCCCAUGUCAAAAAAUUUAACCAGUUAGGCCAAAGAAUCUACCACGUAAUUAACUUACCUUCAUUAAUUUGCACGUCAAGAUUUAAUUGAUAUUUUUCAAAAAACAUGCAUGAGCCAUUUAAAUAAAAAUUUAAGAAUAAUUUUGAUAUUUUUUCAAUUUUCUCACAAACCCAGUCCUAUCGGUUUUCACACAAGUAGAAGAGAAAAGUGAAAAACAAGCGUUGGCUGUUUUAGAAGAGAAAACGAAAGAUAAAAAAA